rnacentral:rRNA from 1 species
UGGGGAAUAUUGCACAAUGGGCGCAAGCCUGAUGCAGCCAUGCCGCGUGUAUGAAGAAGGCCUUCGGGUUGUAAAGUACUUUCAGUCGGGAGGAAGGUGGUAAGGUUAAUAACCUUAUCAAUUCACGUUACCGACAGAAGAAGCACCGGCUAACUCCGUGCCAGCAGCCGCGGUAAUACGGAGGGUGCAAGCGUUAAUCGGAAUUACUGGGCGUAAAGCGCACGCAGGCGGUUGAUUGAGUCAGAUGUGAAAUCCCCGGGCUUAACCCGGGAAUUGCAUCUGAUACUGGUCAGCUAGAGUCUUGUAGAGGGGGGUAGAAUUCCAUGUGUAGCGGUGAAAUGCGUAGAGAUGUGGAGGAAUACCGGUGGCGAAGGCGGCCCCCUGGACAAAGACUGACGCUCAGGUGCGAAAGCGUGGGGAGCAAACAGG